rnacentral:rRNA from 1 species
AAGUCGUAACAAGGUUUCCGUAGGUGAACCUGCGGAAGGAUCAUUAUUGAAUAACUUGGUGUUGAGCUGGCCCCUUAGUUGGGCAUGUGCUCGCAUCAUAUUAUUUAUCUAUCUCUUGUGCACCUUUUGUAGUCUUUGAAGUGUUCGCAGUCAAUGCGGUUUUGGGGCUUGGGCCUUGUUGCCCUUUUCCCUGUUUGCUUCAAAGGCUAUGUUUUAUACACACUAUUGAAGUUAUAGAAUGUCUCUUAUUGACUUUGAAGUCAGUAAAUCUAUACAACUUUCAGCAACGGAUCUCUUGGCUCUCCCAUCGAUGAAGAACGCAGCGAAAUGCGAUAAGUAAUGUGAAUUGCAGAAUUCAGUGAAUCAUCGAAUCUUUGAACGCACCUUGCGCCCUUUGGUAUUCCGAAGGGCAUGCCUGUUUGAGUGUCAUUAAAUUCUCAACCUUGCAAGGUUUUUCUUGUGAGGCUUGGAUGUGAGGGCUUCUGCUGGCUUCCUUCAGUUGGAUGGUCUGCUCCCUUGAAAUUCAUUAGUGGGAUCCUUUGUGGAUGGUCACUUGGUGUGAUAAUUAUCUACGCCGCCUGACUCUGAAACAAGACUUGUGGGGACCUGCUUAUAACCGCCUCUUCGGAGACAACUCUUUGACAAUUGACCUCAAAUCAGGUAGGACUACCCGCUGAACUUAA